rnacentral:rRNA from 1 species
AACGAACGCUGGCGGCAGGCUUAACACAUGCAAGUCGAGCGGAGAUGAGGUGCUUGCACCUUAUCUUAGCGGCGGACGGGUGAGUAAUGCUUAGGAAUCUGCCUAUUAGUGGGGGGCAACAUUCCGAAAGGAAUGCUAAUACCGCAUACGUCCUACGGGAGAAAGCAGGGGAUCUUCGGACCUUGCGCUAAUAGAUGAGCCUAAGUCGGAUUAGCUAGUUGGUGGGGUAAAGGCCUACCAAGGCGACGAUCUGUAGCGGGUCUGAGAGGAUGAUCCGCCACACUGGGACUGAGACACGGCCCAGACUCCUACGGGAGGCAGCAGUGGGGAAUAUUGGACAAUGGGGGGAACCCUGAUCCAGCCAUGCCGCGUGUGUGAAGAAGGCCUUAUGGUUGUAAAGCACUUUAAGCGAGGAGGAGGCUACUGAGACUAAUACUCUUGGAUAGUGGACGUUACUCGCAGAAUAAGCACCGGCUAACUCUGUGCCAGCCGCCGCAGUAACAC